UACGUAGGGGGCAAGCGUUGUCCGGAAUUAUUGGGCGUAAAGAGCGUGUAGGCGGCCCGGUAAGUCCGCUGUAAAAGUCAAAGGCUCAACCUUUGAAUGUCAGUGGAUACUGCCGGGCUAGAGUCCGGAAGAGGCGAGUGGAACUCCUGGUGUAGCGGUGGAAUGCGCAGAUAUCAGGAAGAACACCCGUGGCGAAGGCGGUUCUCUGGGACGGUACUGACGCUGAGACGCGAAAGCGUGGGGAGCGAACAGG
rnacentral:rRNA from 1 species